GUAUUAAAGGUCCUGCCUGCCCAGUGAUAAUUUUAACGGCCGCGGUAUUCUAACCGUGCAAAGGUAGCGUAAUCACUUGUCUUCUAAAUAAAGACUCGUAUGAACGGCUAAAUGAGGACAAACCUGUCUCUUAUAACUAAUCAGUGAAACUAAUCUUCCAGUACAAAAGCUGGAAUACUAACAUAAGACGAGAAGACCCUGUGGAGCUUUAAACCAAUCACUAACACCAAAGUCUAGUGUACGGUUUUAAGUUGGGGCGACUUUGGAAUAAAGCAAAACUUCCAAGAACAGAACCACACAUUCCAAUUAAGGCUGACAAGCCAAAACCCAUGACCCAGUAAUACUGAUCAACGAACCAAGUUACCCCAGGGAUAACAGCGCCAUCUUCUUCAAGAGUCCCUAUCGACAAGAAGGUUUACGACCUCGAUGUUGGAUCAGGACACCCAAAUGGUGCAGCCGCUAUUAAAGGUUCGUUUGUUCAACGAUUAAUAGUCCUACGUGAUCUGAGUU
rnacentral:rRNA from 1 species